AUAACUCUUAACAUCCACUAAUAAAAUUCAAAUCUGUUCUUAUCAGUUUAAUUGCUGAUAACAUCCUUGAUGGGAACACUGAUGCAUUAAAAGCAUUCUUGGCACAGGGAGAGGGCCUCCAGGUUUGCUUCAACCACUCCAGGUAUCAGCCUAGUAUUGCAGUGCUGCUGAGCCAGAUGCCUGCUCC